UGCCAACCAAAGCCCAAGGUUCAAACCAAG
rnacentral:piRNA from 1 species